ACACAUUACCAGGCAGGGGGAGAUGCCAUCAUAAUGAAAGGUGGUUUUCCCAGGGCGAGGCUUAUCCAAUGCCCUUCAGAUGUGCUGACCCCUUCAUUUUCCAUAAACUCAACUGCAUGAUUUGUGGCAGCGGGGGGCUGUAUUCACAUUCUCCCCUG